GGCAGAGGUGCGAGAAUACCAGAGGAGCCCCUCACUAGACAUGUGAGGAGGUCAGGGAAGGCUUUUGGGGGAGAAGACCCCUCCCCCUCCCCCUCCUUUGUUUUUUAUUUUUGAGAAAAGAUCUUGCUCUGUCACCCAGCAAUCACUGCUCGCUGUAUCCUCAACCUCCCAGGCUCAAGCUCAGCCUCCUGAGUAGCAGAGAUUACAGCCUGAAUCUGUCCUCCGGCUGCUCCU
rnacentral:lncRNA from 1 species